CUUACUCUCCAUGGCCACCAGAUGGCGAAGGCUGCCCGCGGCCCAGAAGAGAGAGGAGCCUGCAGACCCGCGCGGAAACUCUGCUGCGGGACCUGGAGGCCAAGGUCGUAAUAAGGAGAAAUUCGAUGACCAGCAAGGCUGGAGUCCCAUCGUCUUGUUGGGGGAGAGGGGGGAGAAGAAAAAGGUGCCUGUAACUUCAGACUGUCCAAGAUAUCGCUUAGCUCCUGCGCCCGGAAGAAAAUCCAGCGCAGGUCGGGUUCCGGCGCGCGGAAGCCCUGCGAACCCCAAAUGUGUGCGCUGAGCCGAGGCCUCUAAGCGGUAGGAGAGAAUCUGACCUCCGACAUUCUUUUCAAGACACGCGCCGGUGGACCGGGUCCUGGGAUUGGCUUACUCCCGGGCUGGACCUUGGGGUUUAAUUCGGAAAGAAGAGACUGCAGAGGAGAGGGAAGACCGUGAGUCUGCUUUCACCUAGGUUUAAAGCGAAUCAAAGACGGCUGUAAAAAGGGAAACCGGGACCAAAAACAGAUUUGGAGCCUCGAAACUCUCCAUUGAAGGUUUGGAAGAUACGUUGCUGCAGACUUGAAACCGGCUCCAAAUCCGGCCCAAACAUGGGCUGAAAAUAUGGCGCGCUAAUCUGCUGCUUCCCCUCCUCCUCAAGUUCUUUCUGACUCUUCCCACCUUUCCCAGUUUCCCUUCCAGACGUCUGCGGCUCCCCACUCCACCCCCAGGAUAGCUACUCUACAUCCCGACAAUUCCCAGCUUCUACACCCAGGAGGAGGAAUUCUGGAACCACCCAGAGCGAACUCGUGCCGGGGCGGGGUGGGGACCGGAGGAAGGUCCUGCUCCGAAUUCUCUCCAGAGCAGAAAAGAAUUCUAGAGGCUACAUGUGGGCUGCUUUCCCCCCUUCUUCCUUUUUUCCCUCGCAAACCAACAACCAAAAAGUGUUUGGUGAUGGAAAGAACACCAGUGGAAAACGGCAAAUAACAGUAUUUCCAACUCCGAGUCAGGUCCUCUUUGCACUGCUUUUUCCUGUUUCAUUGCAAUUUAUUGAUUUUAUUGUGGUUUUUUGUUUAUUUGGGGCAAGAACGGAGAUGUGAACCAGGACGAGCCAGCAGACCCCCGAGCCAGUAUCUCCUCCCUGGGCAGGGAACACCGCCUGCACCGGUGCAUACUAGGAGACCCUGGCGGAGAAUGUAAACAAACCGGGCGCCGAGCCCUUGAUCUUUAUUUAAAUAGAGGCUUGUUUAUCGGUGUCAUCCUAGGAGGAUUAAUUAGAUACAUCUCUUCACAAUUUGGUGUCUGACACUCCAUCUUAGGAAUGCCUUAUCAUAAGGUGUUAAUUGGGGCCACUCAGCCACUUACGUUUCUAUUAAACACUGUGAGGGACUUUUCACAAGUACCAGGUUCUUUUUUACUGUACGAUGCAAAAACAUACAGGACCCGAAAUAGACUAGGGCCAGAAUCUGCUAUAUCCCGGCAGUGAUUAGCACUUUGGGGCUUUCUAGAGGGCAGAAAUAGGAGAGCACUGUUUUCGAAAUUCCAUCGCAUCUCCCAAUAUUCGGUGGUUGGAUGCAGAUGUAAGGGGGCUGUUGGGGGUGUGGGGAAGGCGCUGACCAGGAUAGGGGGGCUAUGAGUCUCCCUUCCGGAAUCUAAAUCAGUCAUCCACAGUACAUAUAUCUUAAAAAGCACAUCUUCAACGCUUUUGUCCUUGGCUCCCCGGUAAAGUUCGGGGCGCCUUUGCCAAAGUGUUUUGAGUAGGCCGUUCGGAAACGCGGAGCAGGAGUUCGAGCCCCCAAGGUCACGGGUGGCGCGGGAAGAACUCGGGCCCCAGAGGGACGGAGGGGAAGGGAGACAGGACAGUCGAGGUACAAGGUCCUGGCGGCCUUAAUUGGGCGCAGAAGGGGAGGAGGUCUCGGCUGAUUGCUCGCCUCCCAGCAGCUAAUCCUCUUAGCAGCUGCAUUUCCGCGCUACACAGUUAGCAGAAUGAUCCUCCCAGCUAGACCUUUACCCCGG
rnacentral:lncRNA from 1 species